rnacentral:rRNA from 1 species
UACGAAGGUCCCAAGCGUUGUUCGGAAUCACUGGGCGUAAAGGGUGCGUAGGCGGCGCGGAAAGUCAGAUGUGAAAGCCCCGGGUUCAACCCGGGAACUGCAUCCGAUACUCCCGCGCUAGAGGAUUGGGGAGGAGUCUGGAAUUCACGGUGUAGCAGUGAAAUGCGUAGAUAUCGUGAGGAACACUCGUGGCGAAGGCGAGACUCUGGACAAUUCCUGACGCUGCGGCACGAAGGCCGGGGGAGGAAACAGG